AUGUAUAUAAACUCUUUUAUUUUUAAUUAAUUCGUUUGUUUUAACAUAAUUUACACAUAGAUGUUAAGGCUAGAUCUAAAUUAUUUGUCAUUACCUUUUAAAGGGGUAAACAAAAUUGACUUUUUUUUCAACAAAAGGCAAAAAAAAAUUAAUAAUAUUAAUAUAGUAGAGCAAAAUAUAUUAACUCUCGAAUAGGGUUUUUUUUCACUUUGAGAGAGUCGCCUCCAACAUCAACUUGGUCUACCUCUCGGCUGUGGAUGUCGGCGCUGGCUUCUGCUGUGCGUGCGGAAGUCCCUAGCCAAGAAAGGAUCUUCACUCUUGAUCUUGAUGAUGGUGCGAUAUGGGGGAAAGGAGGGAGGAUAUGGGCUGCACUGCUUUUGGGAGUGCUAGUGGCUUCACUCCAGCAUGGACAAAGUCGGAUUCAUGUUACGGGGAUGCACUGCCUCGUCAUGCUCACUCUUGUGGAUUUGAAGAGGGGUCUUGCCCCCACUGCUCCUUCCUCUUGCUAUCUCAAUGUUGUCUUUCUUUUAUUUUGUGUCAUUUCUAUAAUAAAGGGGCUUCAAAGAUUCUCUCGUCAGUUUUCUAGAUUUGGGGGAUUCCAAGAUCUAUAUAGACCCAUGUUACAUGGUACCCCAAUCUCUAGUGUCGGGACACCUGAGCAUGAUUGAUCGUUUGUUUGUGUCCUUUAUUUCUUAUUUGAAUAAGGGAAUCGUUAUUUCCCCCUUCUUUUGGAAGUUUAUUGGGUGAUAGUUAUUAAUGGAGUUGAUCUAUGUUGAUCUGUCAUUUGCAGAAAAUAUAGAUUACUUCGCACUUUUAAUGAUUGAAUGUUGGUGUUAUAUUAGAUCCUUAGAUGAAGUUUUUGUUAUUAAUGCUAUGGACUAUAUUCAAUUGACUUAUUAUUAAUAUAUAUUUUAUUUA